UUUGCCCCGGAGGCGUUGCAGAUGUGUCUGCUGGUUCCUAUGCACUUCGGUAGGUGGCAGAGAGGACAGGCUGUAUCUACACUCAGGGUUCUGACCUGUGAACUACGACUGAUUUGUAGCCUAACAUU